rnacentral:lncRNA from 1 species
GGUCUGAUACGAGUCACAAAGGCCUUAGAUGCGUAUACGAAAGAAAAAGAAAAUCAAGAUUCACUUUCUUGUUUUCAAGAAAAUCAAGAAACCGAAUCUUGGUCCAAUUUUGCUGUUUUGAGCGAUUUCAAGAAUCAAGAAAAUCAAGAUUUCAAAUCUUGGAAAUCUUGGUCCAAGAAACUGAAUCUUGCAACUAAGGUGCAUUGGAUCUCAGUUACGAGCAUUAACAAGCCAAUUUUGGGAGAGAACGGAUUACAAGCCCAA